rnacentral:tRNA from 1 species
GAGGGUAUAGCUCUGUGGUAGAGCGAGUGCUUAGCACUCACGAGGUCCUGGGUUUAAUCCCUGGUACCUCCA